rnacentral:rRNA from 1 species
GAUGAACGCUGGCGGCGUGCCUAAUACAUGCAAGUCGAGCGAACAGACGAGGAGCUUGCUCCUUUGACGUUAGCGGCGGACGGGUGAGUAACACGUGGGUAACCUACCUAUAAGACUGGGAUAACUUCGGGAAACCGGAGCUAAUACCGGAUAAUAUUUCGAACCGCAUGGUUCGAUAGUGAAAGAUGGCUUUGCUAUCACUUAUAGAUGGACCUGCGCCGUAUUAGCUAGUUGGUAAGGUAACGGCUUACCAAGGCAACGAUACGUAGCCGACCUGAGAGGGUGAUCGGCCACACUGGAACUGAGACACGGUCCAGACUCCUCCGGGAGGCAGCAGUAGGGAAUCUCCCGCAAUGGGCGAAAGCCUGACGGAGCAACGCCGCGUGAGUGAUGAAGGUCUUCGGAUCGUAAAACUCUGUUAUUAGGGAAGACCAAACGUGUAAGUAACUGUGCACGUCUUGACGGUACCUAAUCAGAAAGCCACGGCUAACUACGUG